UACGAAGGGUGCAAGCGUUAAUCGGAAUUACUGGGCGUAAAGCGUGCGUAGGUGGUUUGUUAAGUCUGAUGUGAAAGCCCCGGGCUCAACCUGGGAAUGGCAUUGGAAACUGGCAGGCUAGAGUAAGGUAGAGGGUGGCGGAAUUCCCGGUGUAGCGGUGAAAUGCGUAGAGAUCGGGAGGAACAUCCGUGGCGAAGGCGGCCACCUGGACCAUUACUGACACUGAGGCACGAAAGCGUGGGGAGCAAACAGG
rnacentral:misc_RNA from 1 species